UAAAGGAGACUUUGAGAUUAUACUCACCAGCUCCUGGAACAUCACGGCUGGUGGAGGAAGAGAUAGUCCUUCAUGGUGUAAAGAUUCCCCCUGACGUCACUGUAAUGUUCAAUUCAUACGUCAUGGGAAGGAUGGAGCGUUUUUUCCAGGACCCCCUUGUCUUCAACCCAGAUCGGUUCCACCCUGAUGCAGCCGAGCCGUACUUCUCAUAUUUUCCAUUUUCUCUGGGGCCUCGGGCCUGUGUUGGAAAA